AUUAGCCAUGCUAGUCGCGCGGGUUCAGACCCGCGGCGAAUAGCUCCGUAACACGUGGUCAAGCUACCCUGCAGAGGAGGACACCCUCGGGAAACUGAGACUAAUACUCCAUAACGCUUCACACCUGGAAUGGUCGAAGCCGGAAACGCCCCGGCGCUGCAGGAUGUGACUGCGGCCGAUUAGGUAGACGGUGGGGUAACGGCCCACCGUGCCGAUAAUCGGUACGGGUUGUGAGAGCAAGAGCCCGGAGACGGAAUCUGAGACAAGAUUCCGGGCCCUACGGGGCGCAGCAGGCGCGAAACCUUUACACUGCACGCACGUGCGAUAAGGGGACCCCGAGUGCGAGGGCAUACAGUCCUCGCUUUUGAGAACCGUAAGGCGGUUCUCGAAUAAGAGCUGGGCAAGACCGGUGCCAGCCGCCGCGGUAAUACCGGCAGCUCAAGUGAUGGCCGAUCUUAUUGGGCCUAAAGCGUCCGUAGCUGGUCGCGUCGGUUCGUCGGGAAAUCCACCUGCUCAACAGGUGGGCGUCCGGCGAAUACCACGUGACUUGGAACCGGAAGGCCCGAGGGGUACGUCCGGGGUAGGAGUGAAAUCCCGUAAUCCUGGACGGACCACCGAUGGCGAAAGCACCUCGGGAGAACGGAUUCGACAGUGAGGGACGAAAGCUGGGGUCUCGAACCGGAUUAGAUACCCGGGUAGUCCCAGCCGUAAACGAUGCCUGUUAGGUGUGGCACCCGCUACGAGCGGGUGCUGUGCCGUAGGGAAGCCGCUAAACAGGCCGCCUGGGAAGUACGUCCGCAAGGAUGAAACUUAAAGGAAUUGGCGGGGGAGCACUACAACCGGAGGAGCCUGCGGUUUAAUUGGACUCAACGCCGGACAUUUCACCAGCUCCGACAGUAGCAAUGAUGGCCAGGUUGAUGACCUCCGCCGCGAGCUACUGAGAGGAGGUGCAUGGCCGCCGUCAGCUCGUACCGUGAGGCGUCCUGUUAAGUCAGGCAACGAGCGAGACCCGUGUCCCUAAUUGCCAGCAUGACCCACGCGGUUGAUGGGUACAUUAGGGAGACUGCCGCCGCCAAGGCGGAGGAAGGAACGGGCAACGGUAGGUCAGUAUGCCCCGAAUGAGCUGGGCUACACGCGGGCUACAAUGGCCGAGACAAUGGGUUCCCACUCCGAAAGGAGACGGCAAUCUCAGAAACUCGGUCGUAGUUCGGAUUGCGGACUGAAACUCGUCCGCAUGAAGCUGGAUUCGGUAGUAGUCGCCUUUCAGAAGAGGGCGGCGAAUACGUCCCUGCUCCUUGCACACACCGCCCGUCAAAGCACCCGAGUGGGGUCCGGAUGAGGCCCAGUUCCUGGGUCGAAUCUGGGCUCCGCAAGGGGGCUAAGUCGUA
rnacentral:rRNA from 1 species